rnacentral:rRNA from 1 species
GACGAACGCUGGCGGCGUGCUUAACACAUGCAAGUCGAACGAAGAGCGACGGAAGCUUGCUUCUAUCAAUCUUAGUGGCGAACGGGUGAGUAACGCGUAAUCAACCUGCCCUUCAGAGGGGGACAACAGUUGGAAACGACUGCUAAUACCGCAUACGAUCUAACCUCGGCAUCGAGGAUAGAUGAAAGGUGGCCUCUACAUGUAAGCUAUCACUGAAGGAGGGGAUUGCGUCUGAUUAGCUAGUUGGAGGGGUAACGGCCCACCAAGGCGAUGAUCAGUAGCCGGUCUGAGAGGAUGAACGGCCACAUUGGGACUGAGACACGGCCCAGACUCCUACGGGAGGCAGCAGUGGGGAAUCUUCCGAAAUGGACGAAAGUCUGACGGAGCAACGCCGCGUGAGUGAUGACGGCCUUCGGGUUGUAAAGCUCUGUUAAUCGGGACGAAAGGCCUUCUUGCGAAUAGUGAGAAGGAUUGACGGUACCGGAAUAGGAAGCCACGGCUAACUACGUG